GGAUUGUGGGCUCAGUGGUAGAGCGCUCCCCUUGCACGGGCGGGACCCGGGUUUGAUCCUCAGCACCA
rnacentral:tRNA from 1 species